CCUACGGGUGGCAGCAGUGGGGGAUAUUGCACAAUGGGGGCAACCCUGAUGCAGCGACGCCGCGUGUGGGAAGACGGUCCUCUGGAUUGUAAACCUCUUUUCCCAGGGACGAAGAUGACGGUACCUGGGGAGGAAGCUCCGGCUAACUACGUGCCAGCAGCCGCGGUAAUACGUAGGGAGCGAGCGUUGUCCGGAAUUACUGGGUGUAAAGGGAGCGUAGGCGGAGAUGCAAGUUGGGUGUCAAAACUACCGGCUCAACUGGUAGUCGCACUCAAAACUGCAGCUCUUGAGUGAAGUAGAGGCGGGCGGAAUUCCUAGUGUAGCGGUGAAAUGCGUAGAUAUUAGGAGGAACACCAGUGGCGAAGGCGGCAUGCUGGGCUUUUACUGACGCUGAGGCACGAAAGUGUGGGGAGCAAACAGGAUUAGAUACCCCUGUAGUC
rnacentral:rRNA from 1 species